rnacentral:rRNA from 1 species
UACGUAGGGGGCGAGCGUUACCCGGAUUCACUGGGCGUAAAGGGCGCGUAGGCGGUCUGUCGCGUCUGCUGUGAAAACUCGGGGCUUAACCCCGGGCCUGCAGUGGGUACGGGCAGACUAGAGUGCGGUAGGGGAGACUGGAAUUCCUGGUGUAGCGGUGAAAUGCGCAGAUAUCAGGAGGAACACCGGUGGCGAAGGCGGGUCUCUGGGCCGUAACUGACGCUGAGGAGCGAAAGCGUGGGGAGCGAACAGG